GGGGUUCUGUGUGAGUGACUCGCGUCGCAACGCCUGGCCUCCUGAAACUGAAGGUAUGUAGUCUCCCUGGCUCCUAGGUUUCUGCCCUCCACUCGUUUGACUGGGUGUAGCGGCUGGGCUCCUCUCAUCACCCUGGCUUCCUCAAGUGGCAUUGUUCACGUACCAACGUCUGUCUCAUCUGGUCAUGGUGAACAAUGUUAUAGUACAGCUUUACUAACCUUAUAGUGCGACACACAACACCAGUAACUGCUAUUAUUUAUUGUUAUCACUAUGAAUAAUGUUUGAUUAUGAUAGCUAUUAAGUUUUAUGUGAUCAUGUGUUACAAUAUCUGUGCAUACAGUAGGAGUAAAUAUAUGAGUGUAUUUAUGCACACGCCAUAACGUUAUUAUAAAUAUUAAUAUUUAACAGUUAACAACAGUACAACAGUUCUUUAUUCAUGAAUGUGUUUGCCUCACGUGUAUCUUUUUUAUUUAUUUGUUUUGUGCCUAUUUAUAUUUUUCUAUUUUUCCUCACUGACUUGUUUGUUUUCAUCUAUUGACUUGUUGUUAUUGGUCAAAUUUCAACAAAUCACAUUUCCACCACCGUGUUCACGUCAUUUAGAGAAUUUUCUGAAUAAAAAAAAGAAAAUCCCGAUCCAACCGCCUUUUGAUGACGUCACUCCCGUAAAAUCCAAACUCGCCAUGAAUUACCCGCUCCUUCGCCGGGUGCGGUGGCGCGUGUCUGUAAUCCAAGCUACUGGGAGGCUGAAGCUGGCGGAUCGUUUGAGCUCAGGAGCUCUGAGCUGCAGUGGACUAUGUCGAUCGGGUGUCCGCACUAAGUUCGGUAUCGAUAUGGAGCUUCUGGGGGAGCCCGGGACCACCAGGUCGCCUAAGGAGGGGUGCAUCGGCCCAGGUCGGUAACGGAGCAGGUCAAAGCCCCCGUGCCGCUCAGUAGUGGGAUCGCGCCUGUGAAUAGACGCUGUAGUGCAGCCUGAGUAAUACAGCGGGACCCAGUCUUUUUACACCAUUUACACUGAUCCACUAACAGCUGGGACGAAACGCACCCUCCAGCUGAUGGCUGAUCAUCAAACAACCGCUUCUUUUUUGGGUUCAUGUCAACUAAUUUCUACGAAAACCUUCUCUGUUUGUUGGUACAACACCGCCUUCUCCUGGGCAAGAGGAGCAAUGACAUCACUUCCACCACAAAACGAGCAGAACGCUCUGGACGCUAGUCUGUCUGAAGUACGGUUUUAAUACAUGACAUUAAGCUUCUCUACUUGAGCUGCUGUUACUUAUGCAACUACACAAGCUGUUUGUAUAGCUUUAGUUUCCAAGAUAAACUUGGUAAAAUGUCAAAAUGUCUUGGAAACUAAAGUUAUACAAACAACUUGUUGCAUAAUGUCGACAUUUUACCCUCUAAAUAUCAACUGUCUCCCUCAUCACAUUUGUCGUUUUAGUUCAUUUAUUGAAAUCAAACCUGUGUUUUUACAUACUUAAGACUAAACACCGGUAACAUUUUUAAAACACCAGAAAAGAUGCAAUUCUCAUCCCACUGUAUUUACGACAGUGUUCACGUCUUUUAGAGAAUAUUCUGAAUAAAAAGAAAAUCCCGAUGCAACCGCCUUUUGAUGACGUCACGCCAGUAUAACCCAAACCUGCCAUAAAUGACCCGCUCCUUCGCCGGGUGCGGUGGCGCGUGCCUGUAAUCCAAGCUACCGGGAGGCUGAGGCUGGCGGAUCGUUUGAGAAAUCUGACUUCUUCUAUUCUGAAAAGGACUGAAGACUUACAGACACUUAUACACAGAGAAAGCAUAGCUUCAUUAACUUAGGCUUGUGCAGAUGUUUACAAUUAUGACAAUAAAUAAAAGAUGAGGAAUUAUAGUCAUAAAACUUGUUUUUCACAUUCCACUGUCAAACAUUAAGAGGACAAAUUUCAAAAAAGCAGCAUUCCCACAACGAUUUUCAUGUCGUUUUACAGAAUCUACUGAAUAAAAGUCAUAAAUUGAUAAAAGAAAAUCCCGAGCCAACCGCCCUUUGAUGGCGUCACGCCCGUAAAACCAAACUCGCCACGAAUUACCUGCGCCUUCGCCGGGUGCGAUGGCGCGUGCCUGUAAUCCAAGCUGGUGCUUCUGGGGGAGCCCGGGACCACCAGGAGGUGGUGCACCGGCCCAGGUCGGUGACGGAGCAGGUCAAAGCCCCCGUGCCGCUCAGUAGUGGGAUCGCGCCUGUGAAAAGACGCUGUAGUGCAGCCUGAGUAAAACAGCGGUCUUUUUACACUGAUCACAGCUGGGAUGACACAAACUCCAGCUGAUGUUUGAUCAUUAUACAACUGAUAUUUUUCUGUGUUCAUAUCUUCUCCUUUUCAGGAAAACCUUCGCUGUUUGUUGGUACAACACUGCCUCCUCCUGGACAAGAGGAGCAAUGACAUCACUUCCACCACAAAACGAGCAGAACGCUCUGGACGUCGUCUGAAUUUCAUAGGGAGAAGGCGUUGACGGCACCAGGAUACAAGUUAGUGCCCUCAUCGCUCUCAUGGAGAUAACAGACAUCAUAGAACCACCUGGAGAGAAGUUGUCACCGGUGUCUAUGGAGGCUCAAUGCUCAUCCUUCAGCUCUUGCUCCCUCCAGCCUCCGGUCCAGACAGAGGGGAGCCUCCCAGUCCUAACCACACAGAGGAAGUGUUUUCAUCACUGCUCUCUCUGUGCUACUGGGUUUGGGAGACUCUUCACAUAAUCAGUGGUGUUGGCCUCCAUCUGUAAACAGAAGUCAGUCAAGACAAGUCAUUUUCUAAAUAUUUUGAAACUAAUUGUAAUAAAUACGUUGCAUCUUUAACGUCAUUUAUUUGUAUUUCUUUGUGUUUUACUGUGAGAUUCUGAAUAUGUUGGUAAAAUGGUAAAAAUAAUGACUCAUUACUUAUGACACUUUCAUAACACUUUCAUGAAGCGAUAAAUAACAGACUGAGAUGAGAUUUUUGUUGUAA